GACGAACGCUGGCGGCGUGCUUAACACAUGCAAGUCGAACGGAAAGGCCCUGCUUUUGUGGGGUGCUCGAGUGGCGAACGGGUGAGUAACACGUGAGUAACCUGCCCUUGACUUUGGGAUAACUUCAGGAAACUGGGGCUAAUACCGGAUAGGAGCUCCUGCUGCAUGGUGGGGGUUGGAAAGUUUCGGCGGUUGGGGAUGGACUCGCGGCUUAUCAGCUUGUUGUUGGGGUAGUGGCUUACCAAGGCUUUGACGGGUAGCAGGCCUGAGAGGGUGACCGGCCACAUUGGGACUGAGAUACGGCCCAGACUCCUACGGGAGGCAGCAGUGGGGAAUAUUGAACAAUGGGCGGAAGCCUGAUGCAGCAACGCCGCGUGCGGGAUGACGGCCUUCGGGUUGUAAACCGCUUUCGCCUGUGACGAAGCGUGAGUGACGGUAAUGGGUAAAGAAGCACCGGCUAACUAAGUG
rnacentral:rRNA from 1 species